rnacentral:rRNA from 1 species
GAUGAACGCUGGCGGCGUGCUUAACACAUGCAAGUCGAACGGAAAGGCCACAGCUUGCUGUGGUACUCGAGUGGCGAACGGGUGAGUAACACGUGGGUGAUCUGCCCUGUACUUCGGGAUAAGCUUGGGAAACUGGGUCUAAUACCGGAUAGGAAUCACAUGUGGGUGUGUGGUUGGAAAGCUUUUGCGGUAUGGGAUGAGCUCGCGGCCUAUCAGCUUGUUGGUGGGGUAAUGGCCUACCAAGGCGUCGACGGGUAGCCGGCCUGAGAGGGGGUACGGCCACAUUGGGACUGAGAUUAGGCCCAGACUGCUACGGGAGGCAGCAGCGGGGAAUAUUGCACAAUGGGCGGAAGCCUGAUGCAGCGACGCCGGGUGGGGGAUGACGGCCUUCGGGUUGUAAACUCCUUUCGUCAGGGAAGAAGCGAAAGUGACGGUACAUGGAUAAGAAGCACCGGCAAAAUACGUG